rnacentral:rRNA from 1 species
AGUGAACGCUGGCGGUAGGCCUAACACAUGCAAGUCGAACGGCAGCACAGUAAGAGCUUGCUCUUACGGGUGGCGAGUGGCGGACGGGUGAGGAAUACAUCGGAAUCUACUUUUUCGUGGGGGAUAACGUAGGGAAACUUACGCUAAUACCGCAUACGACCUACGGGUGAAAGCAGGGGAUCUUCGGACCUUGCGCGAUUGAAUGAGCAGAUGUCGGAUUAGCUAGUUGGCGGGGUAAAGGCCCACCAAGGCGACGAUCCGUAGCUGGUCUGAGAGGAUGAUCAGCCACACUAGAACUGAGACACGGUCCAGACUCCUACGGGAGGCAGCAGUGGGGAAUAUUGGACAAUGGGCGCAAGCCUGAUCCAGCCAUACCGCGUAGGUGAAGAAGGCCUUCGGGUUGUAAAGCCCUUUUGUUGGGAAAGAAAAGCAGCAGGUUAAUACCCCGCUGUUCUGACGGUACCCAAAGAAUAAGCACCGGCUAACUUCGUG